ensembl:lncRNA
AGAGGAUUAGGUGGCUGGAUGGCAUCACUGACUCGAUGGACAUGAGUUUAGGUAAACUCCAGGAGUUGGUGAUGGACAGGGAGGCCUGGUGUCCUGCAAUUCAUGGGGUCACAAAGAGACACGACUGAGCGACUGAAAUGAACUGAAUUGAAUGAGAAUACUAGAAUUAAGGUGAAAGUUUUGAAUUUUAAAUGUUGAUGGGACAAAUAAUGAAUAUCUUUAUUCUCUGCUGUAGCUCACUCGUUGAGAAGAUUGUCAAACUGUUCAAGAUUAAUAAAGUAUAAAAUACCUGAGAGUAUUUCCCAGAAAUUGUCAGAUCACGUUUUUACAACUGUCACUGGAUAUAAGGGUUGGGUAUUUUAGUUGUGUAGAAUGAUUAUUGUGAAAUUAUUUUCAUUUUUUCAGUGUUUUUACAGUGCAGUGUAAGAGAUGCGAAAGUCUUUUUGGAACUUAGAAAAUUACAGUAAAACAUUUUACUGUAUUCAGAAAAAGGGUUUUCUUGAUUUCAAAGAAUACUGAUCUCACUGCUUCUACUACCAUAUAAAGGGGGAACAGAGAAAGAUUUAUUGCCGGACCAUGCAAGGAGACAGGUGGCGUAUGCCCCCAAACCCAAAACUCCCAGGCUUCUUUUUGAGAUGAUGAAAAUGUUCUGCAAAUAGAUAGUGGUGAUGGUUGCUUAACUCUGUGACUAUUCCCAAAACCGCUGAAUUGUAUACUUUAAAAGGGUGAUUUUUUUCACAUGUGAAUUACAUGUCAACAAAGCUGUUAUUUUAAAAAGUAACCAUAAAAGAGGCUAUAAUAGCAACAACUAAGAAGUAAAGGCUUAAAAUAGGGCAGUAGUAGUAAUAGAGAGGUAGGGCUUCCCUGGUGCCUCAGAUGGUAAAGAAUCUGCCUGCCAUGUGGGAGUCCAGAGUUGGAUCCCUGAGUUGGGAAGAUCCCCUGAAGAAAGGAAUGGCAACCCCUUCAGUAUUCUUGCCUGGAGAAUUCCAUGGACAGAGGGGCCUGGUGAGCUGCAGUCCACGGGGUUGCAAAUAGACACAACUGAGCGACAAACACUUUCACCAGGGAAUGUAGGGGUUGAACUGAAGGGCUUGAAAGACUGAUUUUUACUGCCAGGAAUGCAAAGUCUCCAGGGCUUAAACAC